AACGAACGCUGGCGGCGUGCCUAACACAUGCAAGUCGUACGAGAAAUCCUGGGCAACUGGGAGAGUAAAGUGGCGCACGGGUGAGUAACGCGUGGGUAACCUACCCUUGAAUUGGGGAUAACUCCUCGAAAGGGGAGUUAAUACCGAAUAAUAUUCCGAUUCCCACGGGAGUUGGAAUCAAAGGUGGCCUCUGCAUGCAAGCUAUCAUUUAAGGAUGGGCCCGCGUACCAUUAGCUAGUUGGCAGGGUAAUGGCCUACCAAGGCAACGAUGGUUAGCUGGUCUGAGAGGAUGGCCAGCCACACUGGAACUGAGACACGGUCCAGACUCCUACGGGAGGCAG
rnacentral:rRNA from 1 species